UCCUAUGUGGUCUAGUGGUUAGGAUUCCUGGCUCUCUCCCAGGUUCGAUUCCCGGCGUGGGAA
rnacentral:tRNA from 1 species